CUUUAAGCUUAUACAUUAACUUUAGUUAUAACUUAAUUAUUAAUGAUUUGAUUUAUAGAUUUUUAAAGCAAUACAAGAUUGAAUUUAGCAGAAGGCUAAAUUACUGCUCUGGAGACAAAAAAGGAAGACAGCGAAAAUGACCAGUCAAAAUAAAGAUUAAAGAAACAAAAAAUUGUGUAUAUCUUGGUGUAGAUGAUUUAUCCUCUACACCUCAUUUUCUUAUAAUAAAACCAAAAAGUAUUAUUAAACUUUGGAAUUUACCUGUAACUCCAAACUCUUUACAGAAGUUCAAUGUUUGCUCUGAGAAGUUGAAUGAACAAUUUUAUUAAAUGAUAAAGUUGUAUCCUUGAAAGAUAUGCUGGUAUUAUUGGCACAAUGGGCAAGCAUUGAAGUGCAGCUUGGUGAACUACAAAACACAUCAAAUUCAGUUAUAAAAAUUUGAGUAACAAAGGUAUGCUAAUUAUUGUAUUGCCUGAAAGAGUGUCAUGGCCAUUAAAAGCAGUAAAGAAUUCAAGUACUCUGGAAGAAAGAAGACAAGAAAAUACUUUAGUAAAUGGUUAAUUAUUUGGCACAAAUUGGAGUUAAAAACAAAGGAGAUUGUAUAUGUUAUUUACUAAGAAUUGUUUUUUAAAAUGGCCUAGCUGUAAAAUUAAACUAUACAGGGAGAGGACAAAAAAUUGGAAUAGGAAAAAUGUUGAUUGCAUAUGUUGCUAUUGAAACUGUUAAGUCAAAUAAGCAUGGCUUAUGCAGUCAUGUGAUAGAGAUAGUGGAAGAAAAAAUAAUAUUAGUGGGUACCAAAUAUCAUAAGCUAAACACGAUUCAAUAACAAGUAGCUCAGCCAAUAUCCAAACUACUCUAUAAAUUUUAUA
rnacentral:lncRNA from 1 species